ensembl:lncRNA
UUUAAAAAAUAUUGAUUUUAUUCAUAUGUCUAGCCUAUUUAACAGUGGAUCACACUGGUAGGAACAAUCACAAAUAUCUAGUUACGUGGUUUCAUCACGUUCUGGCCUGUGCAACAUUGGGUUCGAGUCAAGCACAUAUUAUGGCAUCACCAAAACGGACAAUGAUUGCUGUUCAAAGCUCAGCUGAGUCCUGUCUCCUUGGUCAACUUCCAAGCCCAAUAACCUCUUCUACUACUGUGUAGUAUUGUCUACAAAGCACUUGUAUGCUCAAAGUCUGAAUCCAGCAAACAGCCUAAAGCACAUGCUCCAUCUGUUUAUCUCACAUACUUUAUUUGAAAGGCUUCAAGUUUUCGGUGCAACAAACAAACAAAAACCCCUACCAUCCACAAUUUCUCAGAAAUUUUGGACCAUACCUGUAUAAAUCAGACUAGUUUCAAUAGGGGAUAUGCAAUUCUUUAUUCACAUGAUCUGGCCUGCAAAUCCCAACUGUCUUCCUUGAGAUAAUGCAUCGUUUCAGCAAGGUUUCACAGCAAAAGCAAAGCUAUCCUGUAACUAACAUCCCUGCUGUUUGUGCUGGCACACAGUAUGGUCUAAAGUCUCUGACCUGCCUGCCAUAUAUCUGAAAGGUACCCACAGACUUCUGCAGUAUAUUCACACCUUACUAAAGGCAUCUUACACUCUGAAAAGUCCCAAACAAUAUGAAUGUGGAGUGAAUGUUGCCUCCAAAGAACUGUGUGCUCAUAUCCAUACUGAGGACUACUAAGCAGACCUGCUCCAAAAACAUCUUUGGAUCUGGCACCUUAGGCCUUCUGUAAGCCCAGUCCUAUAAACCUGUUUUGAGUCACUGGUAGUAAGGAAGUCACAGCUCAUCAGAGGAUCAGACCCUCAGCCAACAGCCACGAGGAGAUAUUACAGUCCUAGACUGUUCCAGGUGCCAAGAGCUGCCAAAUUAGAGUGAGCUGCCUUCUAUCUCUUCUCCCUCACACAAUGACUGUGAGGAUUGACAAACAGGCCAAAAGCCAUUCAUGAAAAUGUAGAGAGUGUAUUGAUAGAGAGUCUUAGGGAAGUUGGAUGCCCAGCAUCCAGCAGAGUACCUUCCGAAAAUCCCAGCUGUCAUGCUCAGGGUAUCUUUUACUCCACUCUUCCUCUCAGCCUCUCCCCUUCCAGAAUCCAUUCUUUCUACCCAUCCUUCCACUCUCCUAUGCAGAGAGCUGGCAACACACACAGGGUGGAUCCAUGUUUGGUUACAGGCAUUUGGCUGCAUGACUGACCUUUCCUACUGCCAAAGGGAGGGGAUUCCAGGCCAGAGUAGCCCACUCUGCCCUUCACUUUCCAGUGCUAAUUGGGUUUUCUAUCAGUUUCAGCACUACACAGCAUGGACUUGUGGAGCUUGAAAAGCAACAGUUUUUUAUCACAAUGGUACAAUGGGAGAAGACUUCAGAGCAUUUUCUUAGAACUCUGCAAACAAUUAUAUUACAUUUUCAGAACUGUCUUGCUAUUGUGCCUUCUAAAUCACAUGAAAGACUACAAAUAGUGCUAUUUCAGUGAAACUCUCUACAGCCACUGAAACUAAGUCACUACCUCCUUUAGAGCAGCAAUGGACUCACAUGUUCACCACAAGAACUGACUGUACAUACGCUAAAGCAGGACACUUCAUAGGUAAACAAGAAAUACUUCUGGUUUGGGCCCAUCCCUUAGAUAUUGGAUAUUACGCACAAACAUGAUUACUACUUGUAGAGCUAUGUGAAACAUCUACCACUUAUGAGUUAUGAAAACACACUUUGAAAUAGCACAGUAAUCCAAGGCCAAAAGACAGGCAGACAAACGGACAGACUUUAGCUGCUUGUUAGAUUCUCUAGAGAAAGCUAUUUGCUCUUAAAAGGGCUGACUUUAUGCAUUUGCCAGGACUAGAUCCUCCACUUGAAAAAGGUUUAAAAUAAGUUUCAGCAACGGAGUCUUUUGGAGGUGCCCAGCGUCAAUUUCCAGCUUCUCACAGUACUCAGUGCUUGACUGGGGCUUUUGAUGAACAGUUCAUAAAUUGCUGUUAUUUAGCCACUGGCAAUUGAAUUCAGCUUUAUUUAGUUCUCCCAGAAACAAGACAAAUUUGACUCUUGCAUGGGAUUCACCCUGCCUCCUCCCUCCAAUCCCUGUUCAAAUCUAGUUUCAGUUUCCUGAAACUAAGAGUGUUAAUCCCUUAAAAAAGAACAGCAACAAGAAAACCACAAACCAAGGAAACCAGUUUCCUGUCCAUACAUGUUGUAUUCCCUGCACACAGAGAAACUUCUCCAACUCUGCGGUAAGAAGAUGCAACAAUGUCUUUUGCAGCAUCCUGACAGCCUUGCAGCAUCCAGAACCCAGC